CAGCAGCCGCGGUAACACAGAGGGUGCGAGCGUUAAUCGGAUUUACUGGGCGUAAAGCGUGCGUAGGCGGCUUCUUAAGUCGGAUGUGAAAUCCCUGAGCUUAACUUAGGAAUUGCAUUCGAUACUGGGAAGCUAGAGUAUGGGAGAGGAUGGUAGAAUUCCAGGUGUAGCGGUGAAAUGCGUAGAGAUCUGGAGGAAUACCGAUGGCGAAGGCAGCCAUCUGGCCUAAUACUGACGCUGAGGUACGAAAGCAUGGGGAGCAAACAGGAUUAGAUACCCGCGUAGUCCCUGUUUCUUAUAC
rnacentral:rRNA from 1 species